UACAGAGGGGGCAAGCGUUGUUCGGAAUUACUGGGCGUAAAGGGCGCGUAGGCGGCCAUGCGUGUCUUUCGUGAAAUCCCUCGGCUUAACUGAGGACGUGCGGAAGAAACUGCAAGGCUUGAGUCCGGGAGAGGGGGGUGGAAUUCCCAGUGUAGCGGUGAAAUGCGUAGAUAUCAGGAGGAACACCAAUAGCGAAGGCAGCUCGCUGGGACGGUACUGACGCUGAGGCGCGAAAGCGUGGGGAGCGAACAGG
rnacentral:rRNA from 1 species